GUCCUCAGAAUCUUGAUAUCCAUGAAUCUCCUUAAGUUGCCCGUUUUCAGAGGUGAAAACUCAGGCUCAUAGAUGGAACACAGAAUCACCAUGGCUUAGGAGGGAAACACUUGUCUGGGAGCAAAGAAACCUGGAUCCUGUUCCUGGUUCUGUCCUCAGUGCCCAGGCUUUGUCCUCUCACGUUCCCUUAUCUGCAAGAGUUGCUAACCAGAUGGAUCCAUACGCCCAGCAGUUCAAACACCGGACGACCCCAGCAAGCCUGCUGUGCUCCUCCUGAGGAGGCCAGGAGGCUACUUGCAAGCUGUCAUCAGUCAGGGGACCAGAUGGAAAGAUGAGGUAAGACUCUCCCAGUGCAGAAACUACACCCAUUCGUGAAGCAGGUACCUCUAGCUACAGAAUUGUUCUUCGGAGCCAGUAGAGGACCACUGAUGCUGCUGGGAUGAUUUGCUCAUGGAAGCAUGCAAAGAAGCUUGGAUGCCUUCCCCGGUGACAGCCAGGGCGAGCCUCUUUAUACUUAUGGACCCGAGUAAAGAACUGUGUGUAGCCGUCCCGACAGCGCUCUCCUGGAUUGCUGUCAGCGUUUUCUGAUGGCUCGGAACACAUUGUGAUGAAUGCCCAAGGAACAAAGCAAUGGUUGCUAUGGAUGAGGAGGCCGUCAAUAAGUGUGCUACCACAGCCUCAGUUUCCCCAGUGGAAUGUGACUGAGUCUUAAUAUGUUAUGCAUCUCUGGUUGGCCUGGAAUCCACUGUGCAGUUGAGGCUGGCUUCAAGGUCAUGGCGACUGUCCUUCAGUCUUCAGGAAUCACAGAUUUGCCUUUCCAAGGUCAGCUCACCUAUCCUUGCAAAUGCCAUUCAGUUAUCAUGACUCACAAGAGGAGUGUCGUGUACACAGGGACAGAAAGCUGCCUUGAGACUCCAGAACUUUCUGAGCCUAUGCUCUCUCUGCCCAUUACCCUGGGCAAGCAAAUGUCUCAUCCCUAGCUUUGGGAAUGAGAUGAAGACUUUUUAUACAAGCUCAGAGAAACACGACGUCAACUCCCCCCCCCCCCCCUUAGCUUUGCCAGCCAAGCUCAGUCUUCUUUGAAGUCCAACUUUACCACUUCACCUCUCCACAAACAAAUCUCCAAGAGAUCUCCACGGUUAUCUUUAUAAAUGUGGUACCCACAGGAGUGUUCAGCUUAGAAAGGGCAGGUCUAGGGGCUGGAGAGCUCAGCAGUUAGGGGCACCUCCUGCUUCUGUGGAGGACUGGACUUCAGUCUGCAGCAGAAGCAGCAGCCCCAGAGGAGCUCACAGCUACAGCUCUAGGAGCCCUGACGCACGCUCUCUCUCGCGUGCGCACACACACACACAUUUAUGCACUUAAUAAUAUUAAAAAUAAAUCUGUAAACAUGUGCCUUGACAUGUUGAUUAAUGAGAAGCGAAUAACAAACCACAGACGGCAUUUGCUCCCUCAGUUUUACGCACUUUAAAGUAUCAGAACCCUUUAAUGCCAUCACCCAUGGGUCUUCAUUUGGUCAUGCUUUGCUUACUCCAAUUUCAUGCUGAAGUAAAAACUACCAAAGCGUCAAAGGCUUAACAAGCAUUGAGAGAGUUAAUUUUACCUGAGGACUAAGAGCGGCUGCGCUGUGGUGACAACUACUAGUUAAGUAACUCAUGUUAGUGGCUGCUCUGUGAUAACUACUAGUUAAAUAACCUGUGUUGCUGACUGGACUCAUCUCACUUACCCAUCUUCAACCAGGGCUUCCCAGCCACAAAAACCAACUCUGGCACAGUAAAAGAGUAACAGCAGAAACCUUUUAUUAAGAUUAAAAGUGAAACCAAAGGAGAAAAAGUUACUUUUUAGAGUUUAUUGAAAUUUAAAGCAGAAAAUAAUAAAACAAUUUAUACAAUUUCAUGUGUUUUAUAUGUUAAGGCCUAAAGUACCGUUUUAUAAAACUAUCUCUGCCAUAUUUAUGCACCAACUGACCAUUCUGUCACUCUUUUUAAAAAGAGAGUAGCAAGUUA